GACGAACGCUGGCGGCGUGCUUAACACAUGCAAGUCGAACGGAAAGGCCCUGCUUUUGUGGGGUGCUCGAGUGGCGAACGGGUGAGUAACACGUGAGUAACCUGCCCUUGACUUUGGGAUAACUUCAGGAAACUGGGGCUAAUACCGGAUAGGAGCUCCUGCUGCAUGGUGGGGGUUGGAAAGUUUCGGCGGUUGGGGAUGGACUCGCGGCUUAUCAGCUUGUUGGUGGGGUAGUGGCUUACCAAGGCUUUGACGGGUAGCCGGCCUGAGAGGGUGACCGGGCACAUGGGGACUAAGAUACGGACCAGAAGCCUACGGGACGCAGCAGUGGGGAACAUUGCACAGUGGCCGGAAGCCUGUUGCGGCAACGCCCCGUGCGUGAAGCCGGCCUACGGGUUAUGAACAAAUGUCGACUGUGACGAAGCGUGAGUGACGGUAAUGAGUAAAAAAGCAACGGCUAACUACGUG
rnacentral:rRNA from 1 species